GUAUGCCAGUUCUUUCUCUUUUCACCCUAUAUAGUCACUCCUCGUGUGUAAUAGCUAACUUCUCUCCUGCCACGUUCAUACAGGUUGAAUAAACAUCACUGAGCCUCAGGCAUCAGUGUUUCGACUUUACUGACUCGAGCAUCAAUUUCAGGUUCGUUUUCUGCUUCGAACUUGCAGGCGCCGCGAGGGGGGGAGAGAGGGAAGACCAGUGACCAGUGAGGCGACGCGGGGGCAAGCACUCACUCAGUUUUUUUGCUUUGUGUUCGUUUUUUCCCGCUUUCCGUUAAUUGCGUCCGUGUUUCACCUUUCCGGCGGUAGUGUCACGCUUUGAGGUCUCCGCGAGCUGUGUUCCGGCCAGCGUUGGAGGCGCACGAAGUUUCCACGAAGUCCGCCAUUAACUUCUCGUGUAAUCCGCCGUAAGCAAGAAAUAUUGUGAUCAUCUCCGGGCCAACGCGCUGAGGGACGAGACAAGAGGCGCCGAGCUGUGU